AUUGAACGCUGGCGGCAGGCCUAACACAUGCAAGUCGAGCGGAUGAAGGGAGCUUGCUCCUGGAUUCAGCGGCGGACGGGUGAGUAAUGCCUAGGAAUCUGCCUGGUAGUGUGGGAUAACGUCCGGAAACGGGCGCUAAUACCGCAUACGUCCUGAGGGAGAAAGUGGGGGAUCUUCGGACCUCACGCUAUCAGAUGAUCCUAGGUCGGAUUAGCUAGUUGGUGGGGUAAAGGCCUACCAAGGCGACGAUCCGUAACUGGUCUGAGAGGAUGAUCAGUCACACUGGAACUGAGACACGGUCCAGACUCCUACGGGAGGCAGCAGUGGGGAAUAUUGGACAAUGGGCGAAAGCCUGAUCCAGCCAUGCCGCGUGUGUGAAGAAGGUCUUCGGAUUGUAAAGCACUUUAAGUUGGGAGGAAGGGCAGUAAGUUAAUACCUUGCUGUUUUGACGUUACCAACAGAAUAAGCACCGGCUAACUUCGUG
rnacentral:rRNA from 1 species